rfam:Glossina pallidipes unplaced genomic scaffold Scaffold428, whole genome shotgun sequence.
CUAUAGUCAAUCCGCACCUGCAAAUUCAGGUGUCGGGUUUGAGACCCCGGUUA